rnacentral:rRNA from 1 species
GGCGGCAUGCUUUACACAUGCAAGUCGAACGGCAGCGCGGGGCAACCUGGCGGCGAGUGGCGAACGGGUGAGUAAUAUAUCGGAACGUACCCAAGAGUGGGGGAUAACGUAGCGAAAGUUACGCUAAUACCGCAUACGAUCCAAGGAUGAAAGCAGGGGAUGCGCUUGCGCACCUUGUGCUCCUGGAGCGGCCGAUAUCUGAUUAGCUAGUUGGUAGGGUAAAGGCCUACCAAGGCAUCGAUCAGUAGCUGGUCUGAGAGGACGACCAGCCACACUGGAACUGAGACACGGUCCAGACUCCUACGGGAGGCAGCAGUGGGGAAUUUUGGACAAUGGGCGCAAGCCUGAUCCAGCAAUGCCGCGUGAGUGAAGAAGGCCUUCGGGUUGUAAAGCUCUUUUGUCAGGGAAGAAACGGGAGGGGCUAAUAUCCCCUCCUAAUGACGGUACCUGAAGAAUAAGCACCGGCUAACUACGUGCCAGCAGCCGCGGUAAUACGUANGGUGCAAGCGUUAAUCGGAAUUACUGGGCGUAAAGCGUGCGCA